GCACUGCUGAGGAGUCCCAAAAUAGGCCGAAACGGCUGUCCAGUAU
rfam:Schistosoma haematobium scaffold313_14, whole genome shotgun sequence.